rnacentral:misc_RNA from 1 species
UGGUUCUGGCAUNGAUGAAGAACGCAGCGAAAUGCGAUAAGUAAUGUGAAUUGCAGAAUUUAGUGAAUCAUCGAAUCUUUGAACGCACAUUGCACCCUCUGGUAUUCCGGGGGGUAUACCUGUUCGAGCGUCAUUACAACCUUCAAGCUUGGCUUGGCAUUGAGCUUCACUACGAGUGUGCUUUAAACCUAGUUGGAGUACCUUGAUGAUUUCCAGCGUAGUAAUUUUAUAUCGCUGAGGAUAUCUCUAAGUGUAUUUCCAAAAAUCAUAUUUUUAUAGGUUGACCUCGGAUCAGGUAGGGAUACCCGCUGA